rnacentral:misc_RNA from 1 species
UUAACUUAUUAUAUUUCACUCAGACGACAACAUUCAGAGUUUAGGGGGUCUCUGGCGGGCGCGAGCCAGCUUGCGCCGGCAGCCGUGAGGCAGGCCCGCCAAAGCAACAGAGUAUAAUAAACAAAGGGUGGGAGAUCUACCCCGAAGGGCAAGUUCUCUUUAGUGAUCCUUCCGCAGGUUCACCUACGGAAA